GAAUCUGUUGCAUGCAACUACCCUAGCUUCCUCACAAUUCCCCAAUCAAAUUUGAACUCAAAUUCAUGUUUUCUUUUCCAAUUUACAACCUAUAGGUGUUUCUAGCCUAUUCCAAGUCAUAAACGAGCUGUUGUGGUCUGUUCUUGAGCUGUAGCACUGUCCAGGUAAGGGAAGCUGGAUUCUUUUAGUUUAAUUGUAGAAUGCUAAAUUUAUUUAUUUGAUUGUAUGGAGAAUUAUUUGAAUUGAAAUGCAUGGGUGAAAUUUGUAUGAAUUGAUACGGCUUUUGCUUGAAUGAAUGAAUGCAUGUAUUGAAAAUGAUAUUUUUGAUUUGUGUUUGAUGAGAGUGGAUAAUAGAAGGAUUCUGAAUGGUAGGAUUAGGUGUAGGUUGACAAUGGUAUGGUUUUAGGGAGAUAAUUCAGUUCUGCAGGUUUUCAGUAAAUGACUAAGUCAUUUUUUUUCAGCUUUUGAGUCCAAUUAAGGGAACUUGGGUGGUGAGUUUUAGAAAUAAGGGUUCAACUCUGAAAUAGGUACUUAGGACAACUCAGGGUAGUUAAUUGUGACUUAUAGGAGGUGUACAAUUGAUCUAAAACAACUUAUAAAUGGUAAAUUUCAAAUUGAGCCUCUAGGUAGAUCAAAUGAGUAUUUUAGAUCUAAUUUCCUUGCAUAUCUCUUAGAGUUUUGAGUUAGGAUGGUGUGUGAGACUUCAAAUAAGUUAGAUUCAACUUGUAUUUCGAGUUAGGAGUGUCCAAAGUUCACCAAAAGGCCUAAAAUGAAACUUAGGGGGUAGAGUUGCUCAAUUAUGCAGCAAAAUCUGCAUAAUUCACGCUGGGCGCCCCUAAAUGGCGCUGGGCGUAGUUUUCUGCUGUUGCUUUUGUUUUUGAUAGUUUGGGGGGUUCCGGACGUCCGUUUUGGACGUUCUUUAGGUCGUUCUAGGGGUUUUUGACCCUUGCGGAGCCAUUGGUGAUGGUCUCCAAGCUGUUUGAAUUACUUAAGUAUAUGUAAUUAUAGUUGAUAAAGAAAUUGGUAUUAAUAAAUGAUGUUUUUGUGAAAAUAUAUAAUGUCUGAGUAUGUAUAUGUUGUUUUUGUGACAUAACUAAAGAAUGAUUGUGUUCCAUGUGGUGUAAUAUGAUUCAAUGAUUUAAGUUGUAUCUCGUGGUGAGAUUAUAUUAAGUUUGAGAAUGAAUAUAGGAAGCUCAAUAUUGGGUGUCUCCAUUUAUGGGCCAAGAAUGAGUGAUAUUAAGUUAAGUUUCUAGAAUGAAUAUAGGUAGCUCAGUCUUGGGGGUUGCCCUUAAUACUCUAAUGACUAUUCAAUCUCACUUAGAGAAGAUUAGUUCAUGUGGUGAGAGUAGUAGGGGGUCCUAGUCUUGGUUGUCUCCAUUUUAUAUGGGCCAAGGUGAGUGAUAACGGACUAACCUUGUGGUGGUAGGGUGGAACCCAUAGCAAUUGGCUUUGCAAAGUAGUAGAGACCACCACAAGUACAUAACCCGCCAUAGCUCGAUGUUCAUUCCGGGUUCGGACGAGUCUAAGUCUAACACCACUUAAUAAAACCACAACUCAUAACUUAAUUAAAUUGUUCUUCUAUGCUUGCAAUUCUAGUAUGCCUCUUUUAGUUUGAUAAUCUCCUUGUUAACUUGUUUCCUUUUGAAAUCUAGCUUACCCUUGCUUUGUUUGCUGCCUGUUUUGUAUGUGCUUGUUUUCUCUUGCAAUGAUCAUCCAAAUUGGAUGUGAGCAGAGGCAGGAGAGGCCCCUUUGGAGCAAAUACUAGAUGGCCCAGAUAUCCCAUACACUGCUGAUGCUGCAGAGUAGUGUAGCUUAGUUAUUACUUAUUGUAUAUAACUUAGUCUUCCUUCCUUUUCUUCUUUUUGAAAGACUCUAUUCCUCUUAUAUUUUGGGUGACAGUAUCUUAUAAUACUUCAUCAUACUUCUACUCUUAACUGCUUUACUUUAUUACGUAUGAUGCAUUCCACUCAAUAUGAUUUAUACAUAUUUUUGGGAUGUUAGAUAAACUAUCAUACAUAUUUAUCCUUAAACUAUCAUACGA
rnacentral:lncRNA from 1 species